UCUGGUUUUGUCAUAUCCCCAAAUCUACAGCCGCCCCCAAUGGGACUAGGAUGAAGACGGAGAUGAAAAUACCGAACUGGAACGCACUCUCGCUGCGUCGAUUCGAAGGUAUGCUGGGGAGCAAUUUCGUGGUGAAGAGGGACUGGGGGCGCUCACGGAAUAGAUGCUAUGGAAGCCAUAAAUGACAUCUCUGUUUCAAAAAAGGUACAGGAAAUAGCCUGAGAAGUAACUCAACACUGAGGACCUGCGAACCCGCGUAAGGCGAUUGAAGACAGCUUGAAGACAGAAGGAACGGAUGUUAAAUCCACAUGACAUUAUCUUACUUCAUCUACUCCUGGUGAUUCUUGUACUGUGCAUACACACACAGUAUGUACAUGAUAUGUCCCCAAGGGCCCUCCCAACCACAACAUUUUUAUUUUUAUCAUUUUUAUUCAUAUCUCUCUUAAGAUUUCACUACCAAUAGUUGGUCAUGAUUAUAUCACGUCAAUCAUCUGGUUUCUUUGAUUUUUUUCUGGCAACUUACAUGCUCCGUAAAUUGAUGGCAGAUUGAAAUUAUUUCUCAUAUCUAGUGUGUGGAUUCACAGGAUGGGGUUUAGUCAUAGGCCUGCAUGUGCAUUUCGGAUCAUGAGAUGCAACGGAUUUGAUCAAGCAAGCCUGUCAUCUGUGAUAUAUUAACCCACCCAUUGAAAAUAAACAGGAUUUUUCUGAUGUCGCUGUAUACAAUACCCCGUUUUCCAGU
rnacentral:sRNA from 2 species